rnacentral:rRNA from 1 species
UACAGAGGUCCCAAGCGUUGUUCGGAUUCAUUGGGCGUAAAGCGCACGUAGGCGGACUCUUAAGUCGGUGGUGAAAUCCUGGAGCUCAACUCCAGAACUGCCUUCGAUACUGAGAGUCUCAGAGUCCGGGAGAGGUGAGUGGAACUCCGAGUGUAGAGGUGAAAUUCGUAGAUAUUCGGAAGAACACCAGUGGCGAAGGCGGCUCACUGGCCCGGUACUGACGCUGAGGUGCGAAAGCGUGGGGAGCAAACAGG